ensembl:lncRNA
GUUAUUACCAAGUAGUCAAACAGGACAUUUGACUCUUGUAAAGAUUUGCCUUAAAGGAUGUGGAAUGUGAUUUUAACAGUGUCACAGCAGGUUCCAGUUUAGACUGUUCUCAGUAACAAGUGUUCUAGACACAGGGGAUACAGCAGUGAACAAAAGAGACAAAAAUCCAUGCCUGCCCAGAUCUCACCUUGCGCAGAAAGAAAACAAACAUGAUAAAGAUGGAAACCAUGUAGCCGGUGAGAUGCCUUUAAAUGCUGUGGAGCAAAAUGGAACCUUGAAAGGGAAGAGGCCAUCUGGCACUAUUCUAGGCAGCAGCCAUACAACAGAGAAGAAAAUGGACAAAAGAGCUUACCCUCGUGGAGUUUUCAGGCUAUUGGAGAGAGGGAAGGACAAAGAGUUAACUAACUAAACAAAAGAUGGAGAACGACUGAUGAUGAAAAUAUGAUGAAGAAGAGAAGAUAGAAAAGUAACUAUACCACAGUCUCACCAGUGUUAAACAUUUCGGUGCGUGGCCUUCUUUUCCCUCUGGAUGUCUAUAUACACAGAGAUGUUGGUGCAGAUGAAGUUACACAUCAUAUUGUUUUGCAGAAGAUUUUUCUUGGCUGCCAUGCUCGCUGUCUCCUCAUUGCAAAUUUGUCACGAGCCCCGUCUCCUCCAGCCUGUCCUACAUGUUGCUGUGGGCCCACCAGGUGUGAGGACAGUGGAACUCAUUGGCACAGGAGAUGAAGAAGCAAAACUAAACAUCUUUAGACAUCAUCUCUCCAUUCCCAACAAAGACCCCUUCCCACAGAGCAAACGUUGAGGCAAAAAAUGAACCUGAAUCCUUUAUAGCUCACAAUGCCAGCAAAUGAAGUGAAAGAACGCAGACGCUACCGAAAUGAGCUUCAUGUCUGAAGGAGGACUUGGACGUGAUCUCGUUUGAGGAGCUCUGAGAAUUAAUUCUGAAACGCUGGAUUGAAGACUACAGUUGGACUUUUAAACAAAAAAGGCAAAUUCAGACACUGCAACUUCAGAAGAAGGUCAGCAGAAUCUCUCUCCUUCCUGGGCAGGAUAAAACGACCUCUUCAGCUCAUCCUGUAAUUGUCUGGGUCUGUUGUUUGUGGUAAAAAAUUUAUUCCACGAGUUGGUCAGGAACUUGUCUUUCGAGAUUCAACAAUCAGGCUUUUGAGUCAAAGCUUGUUCUCGCCAGCUACUGUCUCUGCUGUGAACUUCAAAAGCCUCUUUUGAAAAAGGUCUGAAUCCAAGAAACUGUGGCAAUCACAGACCCCUGAUACCUAGCAGAGGACCUUAGCCAUGUCAUUGACCACUCUGCACCCAGAUCCCUCAUUCGUAAAACAUUAUCACAGACCUUCUAUCAAAGAUCCAAAGCUUCUGGACAAGGCCGACCUCACCCACCACUGGAAUGUAUUACGGGAAGCCAGAUAUGAUGCAGCUGGGGCCUAUUUACUCACAGUGGCCAAGGUUAAAGCAGACGAGUGCCCCCCAGUGAGGAAGGAACACACUCUCAGGCACAGUGAGCAGUGAUGUUUCAGCCGUCCGUUUCGCCGGGAUGUAGAGUGGCCAAGAGUUACUCACUUAAUUCUGAUCAAUCCAACAGACGUCUCCUCCCUGCAACGCAAGCCAACACUUUCUGAAGACAGGAAAUUGGGAAAAGGGUUAAUUUGGAAGUGGCUUCUCUUUACCCUCUUGCUGUGGCUGUUUCCCAAGGGUCUGUCCUUAGCAUUUUCUCUCUCUGUACUUUCUCAUGGCUUCAACCACACCCCUAACAUAUUCCUUCUUUAUGUGAAUUUCCAGCCUCGAUCCCCUCUCGGAGUAUCAGGGUACGUGCCCCAUUUUCUGAGAAAUAGUAAUAGGAUUGCUCCAUGAACAGUUUUCCUGAGUGACCAGUUGAUAGUUCAAAUUAAAUAGAUUAUUAAAUUAAAUAGAUGCAAAACCUAAAUUAUUUCAGAUUCCCCUCAACCUUGUUCUUCUUUCUAUGUCCCCUCUAUCUACUGAUGGUGCCACUAACUCCCUCUGUCACUCAGUGCUGGAAAUGUGUAAUUACUGCUGAGAGUGGCCUCAAUCCAAAUUGGGAUAGCUUUUUGACUUUCGGCCUAUUGGCUUGGGUUUGGAUGGCACUUUGGUUAAUAUUUCUUCUCUUUGUUCUCCACAGCAGCCACUUGCCUGUCUCCCUCUUGCUUUCCUCCUAUAUUUCCUGACUUAUGAAACAGUAAUAACCUUCAUGUAUUCUUUCAAGAACUAGUGACUGCGCAUCUGCCUUGGGCCAUGGACUCCCUGGGCGCUGCUGACAUAGCAGUGAACUUGGCAAAUGGAAUCCCUGCCGUCAUGGGGUUUACCAUAUAAUGAUCAUAACAACAGAUUUUGAGCAUUUGUCGUGUGCCAGGCUCUAAGUUAAGUAUUUACAUGCAUUAUUUUGUUUAAUUCUCAUAAAAACUAUAAUACUAUUAAUAUCUUGGUUGACAUUAAGGAAACUGAGUCUCAGAGAAGGGAGGUAAGUUGCCCAAGAUCUCCCAGGGAGCUCGGCAUGGAUUUGGGCCACCGCUCCAUCCUUCUUGGUCCUUAAACAUUUAGCCUCUGUUUGUUCUGAUUGCCAUGUAUGAUCUGUGUCGUUUUGGAAUUUGUCUGAUCCACUAAUCCUCCAUGUGCAAGGACCCAGGCGAUACUAAGGAUACCAGUGUGUUGAAUAAAGCCAGGAUCCGUCUGGAAAUGGGGCAGUGCUUAGAGACGCAGGGCGGGGGAAGGAGAUAGGGCGGUGAGAAAUGGGGUGGGCGGAGGUCUGUAUGUCAUAGGAACCUGGGAGCUGACCAGAGGAAGUCCUUCCUGAUAGUGCCACGACUGCUUGUCACAAGGUGUUUGUUAUGGUGAUGGAAGGGGUGGGGCUGGGGGCUGAAAGUGGAGGAAAUCCUAAUAGUUGAAUGUGUGAAGAUUUUCUGGAUGUAAAUGAACCUAGCUGAGAAUGUGUCCCUUUGAAUUAGGCUGGAGACAUCCACUGGGCUCUUCUGGUGAUUCUGUGGGCAUGAUGCUGUUUGUACCAUCAUCUCAGAGGCUGCUGGUCAGUCUCUGUGUCGCUCGGGACCUCCAGAGGCUCCUCAGCAGGGAGUCCUGGCCUCCAUCACUGCCUUUGACACCUUCCAAGUCCUGUAGAUUUUACUUCCAUAAAGCCUCUCACAUCCAUUCUCUUGUCUCUACCAGGCCCCCAUUUCCUCUCUCUGAUCAGUCUUCAUAGAACAGAGCUGUGGUCCAAUCCCUCUGCAUAUUGUCAUGGUCCACCUUCGUGUCUUACCUCCCAUCCUGGCUGGCAGAGUCAGCCCAAGGCCAUUUAGGGGGCCUCCUGGAAGUCCCCCCAGGACUGUGUAGGUUCCCUUUCCUCCCUUUUGGGUUGCUGAAAGUAGAAGUCGCAAGGCCAAUUACUUGUCCCCAGAGCAAUAGAGAAUGUGUUAGAUUCAUCGGAACGAGGUUUAAUUAUAGCAAGAAUCCCAUAUAAUAGUUACAGGAGGCCUUACAGUGGUCUGGUGGGCUGUCUGGGCCCACCCAAACAUUUUUUUUCUACCAUGGUUAUGUAGCCACACAGCCCUGAGUCAGUCUGCCCUCCUGGGGUGCUGCUGGAGGCAAGGCCCUUACCAGCAAUACCCUUUCAAAGGGGUUUCGAGAAAUCCCGUUUUAUAGUCUGCAAUCUCAGGAGUUGCCUGCCAGUUCGCCCCUGCGCUCCUUGGUAAUAAAGAGUGUGGGCAAGUGCUGUCAUUCCUCUGGAUUAAUUCACUGUCUUCACCAAGUGCCUGUGUAGUGCCGAGCAUGGUGCUAGAUGCCGGGGACGCAGCAAUAGAGAAGACAUAAUGGAGCUUAUGGAGGAGGGUCAAAGAUGGACACUAUGGAUUCGGCCUGAGGAGCGUGGUACACAGACGUGGCGAAGAGCCUAGAGCAGGGAGAGGUGGUCUUGUCUCAGGAACAGUGGACGUCACCCCAGAAAAGUGACAUUUCACUGGAGGAUGAGUGAGAGCUAAUUGGAGAAAGGGCAGAGGGAACAGUGGUUGACAGUCCAGAGUCGAGAGGGAGAGGGGUGAAUCUGAAGGACUGAACAAGCCCAGGGCAGGCACUGAGGGGAGUCCGCAGCUGCAGGGGCAGGCGGGAGCCCAAGUACAGAAGGUCACGCGAAGGAUUCGGCCCUUAUCCCACGAGUGGUGGGAAGCCGUUGGGGAUUUAAGCAAGAUGGUGACAGGUUUUGAAAGGUCACUCUGCAUGUCGUAUGAAGAAUGAAAUGGAAAGGGACAAGCACGGCUUCUGGGAGAUCUACUAGCGGUAACAACCCAGGUGAGAGGCAGUGGGGCUUAGACAAGGGGUGGGGGUGGCAGUGGGGACGCAGAGGAGGGUUCGGACGUAGAAUCCGCAGGACUUGAUCAUCAGGUGGGUCCAGGAGAUGGAGGAGUCAAGGAUGACUGCACUGGCUCUGACUUGAAUGACAGGGUGGGUGACAUUGCCAGGGACCAAAGGAGGAAACUCUCCCAAGGAAGCAGGUUUAGGGGACGGAAUCCAUGUUGAGUUUGGAGUGAUUGUAGAAUGCUGGGAGGAGAUAUUCUCUGGGUUCAGAGAAAGAGAUCUGAGCCAGGAAUACAUGCAUGUUGUGGGGACUGAAGCCAGGAGAGGCAAUGAGAGCAUCCAGGGACAGGAAGAAGAGAGGUGGGCCUAGGACAAAGCUCCGAGGGGUGAGCAGAGGAGGAGGAGUUAGAGGGUAGCCAGAAACCCAGGAGACCAAGGAGUUAGAAAUCCAAAAAGCGAGGGUGGAUCUCAAUUAAAUGCAUUUAAUUAAAUGUCUAAUAUUUCACUUUAAAUUAUUUUCUUCUCUGUGUCGUGUUGAAACCCUCCUCUGAUACCCCUACAUUUUGAGUAAAAGUCUGUUCCAAAUUGUUUACGGACAUGAAGGAGAAUCCAUAGUGUUCCACAUUUAAGGCAGUGUGGAUCGGAGAGGGGACAGCAAGCAGCCUCAGGAAGCUGCCACUGGAAGCGCAAACCCAGGUGGGAUGAAGGGUCCAGGUGGGAACAGGAGCGUAAGGCCUAGAGCACAGGUAGAACCAGGUAACCCUUGAGAAGUGGGACUGGCCUGGCCCUGAAGUGGAUGUAGGACAGAAAUUCCUUUCCCCAAAUCCACCAGCAGGAAGAAGAGGCUUGAGGAGGGGACAGCCAGAUCUCACUGCUGCAUGGAAUGGAGCCUUCCAGGAAGGCCCACUUCCAAGUAGAAAGCAAGCCCUGAUUCUUGGGGACAGUGGGGAGCAUCUUCCCAACCACAGCGCCUGGCCUCCCUCCCAUGAAGGAGAUGAUUCAGAAUUCCCUUUUUGAGGCUCAUUCUUCAUUAUCCCCAUUCUGUUCUGAAAGAUAACUAGGCUACUUACCCUUUUGACUCCUGCCUGCUUCUGGAAAGUUCCUUAAAAAGUGCGAGUUUUCUAACGGCGCCCAGUCUCUCUAGUCUGAUGGGCGCGUAGAAGUGUCUGACGUCUCUCCUGGCUCCAUGAGGCUGUUGGAUGGAGGGCACGCCCAGCCGUUUCCCUGUCUCCCUCCGGCCUGUGUGGUUUGGCUCCCCCUGGUGGCAGCGACGAGAACAAGCAGCCUAGCUGCUGCUUAGGUCGACGGAAUGACGCUCAGUUUGUAGCAGUCUGGAAGUCGCUUCUCCCCAGGUGCUUCCUGUAGGUCUCCCCUGCGCCGGAGUUUUCCCCUCCUGGCGGAACGCAUCUGGGGAAGCUGCCUCUCUGACUAAUAGCCAGUACAAAGGUCUUUGAACUUGUAUGGUCGGGUCAGUUUUUAUAGCUUCUCUGUGACAUGACACUCUUGCUUUUGGCUGGAGCCCUGGGUCACAUCAAAGUGAAGAAAACCCGUUUCUGUCUGCAGUGGCAUUUUCAGACAAUGUCAAAGAUGAGAAGAGACAGACUAGAGCAGAUGUGGCAGAAGGAUGGGUCCCAGCGUGGCUCCAUCUUAAUAGAUGGCUGGCUGCCCUCCAGGUGGCGGAUGUGCUGAGGUGGGGAGAAUCAUCUUGUUUUUGAGGGGCAGGAUUUCUUAUUAGGGCAAAGGGUAAAUGCCUUACUUUAUAGCAUCUUGUCAGAAGUUUGCAGUAAAUGGCACAAUACUAGCUUUUCAUGACUAAUGUGUGAAGCAUUGUUCUCGAUACCUUCAGAAACCUCUAAAUAUUUUGGAUAAAUGGAACAAAAUGGUUUAUUAAACAUUUUUAAAGAUAGCUCUACAGAAAAAUAAAAAAGUGAUGAACACUUCAAUAAAAAUAAGCAAGACCAUGAGCAGACCAUCCAGAGAACAUUUUCAGUCCUUGUCUGAUUUUGCUUCUUAGCAUCUGUGUUUUUUUUUUUUUGAGGAAGAUUAGCUCUGAGCUAACAUCUGCCACCAAUCCUCCUCUUUUUUUUUUUCUUUUUGCUGAGGAAGGCUGCCCCUGAGCUAACAUCUGUGCCCAUCUUCCUCCACUUUAUAUGUGGGAUGCCUACCACCUCAUGGCUUGCCAAGCGGUGCCAUGCACCUGGGAUCUGAACUGGCGAACCCCGAGCUGCCGAAGUGGAACGUGUGCACUUAACUGCUGUGCCAGCGGCCCGGCCCCGAAUUCCAAAGGAAGUGAGGAAUUGAAUAUUAUAAACAGGUGGUAAAAAUAAAGGAAAAUCAGGCACUCUGGCCCACUGUUUGCUUGUCAGGAAGCAGCUGAGCAUCAGCCUGGGCGCUACCUUGCUGUUGCUGCCACACUCGGGAAUCGAGGAGAAGGGAGAGUUGAACUGGAGGCUGCAAAUCAUGCUUGGAUGUGUGGCUUGACGAGAAGCCCUAGGUCCCUGCCCGGGAUCCGAACCUGCAAACCCUUGGCUGUCGAAGAGGAGUGUGGGAACUUUGCCACUAUGCCACCGGGCUGACCCCUCAAGGGAUCCUUUUUUGACACUUGUUUUCUAUUUCUUUCCAAUCAGGUCAAUUAUUGGUAAGUGACUCUUGUCAUCACGUCAUGAUUGAGGCAGCGGGCUAUUUGUACAGAUCACUUGAUUUAAGGGUGACCUACCUGGUAUCUUCUCAUUCGUUGGUCCAUGGAAUCCUACACCUUCUGAGAGAAACAGCACAUCCAGGGCAGGAGAUGUUGGCCUCAAGGCAUGAGCCAACAAUAUUCCGAGGGUUCUAGGAAUGGCGCCUCACAGUGUGAGCACUAGGUGAAAUUGACCUACCACAGCUCUCAGAGUUCUCGUGCAGUUCUG